rnacentral:tRNA from 1 species
UGUGGCUUAGUAGGUAGAGCACUUGCCUAGCAUGCAUGAAGUCCUGGGUUUAAUCCCCAGCA